UGUAGUUUUACUCUAGCUCUAUGAUUUUGAUUUACACUGUAAAUCCUACUGGAAUUUUAGUGUGGUAUCACCGUAAUUUUUUAGUGUAUUUACUUUGUCAUGUCUUUUGAAUUUAUACUGUAAUUCAUAGGGCAUUUUUUAGUGCACUUUACUCUAUCUUAUCAGUGAUUUUACACUGUAAAUCUUAGUGGACUUGUAUUAUAAUUAAUUAUUUUAUCAUUAAAUUUACACUGUAAAUCAUAGUGUAAUUUUAGUGUGAUGUUCACUGUAAUUAUAGUGUGUGUUUUUGUGGUCUUUUGCUAUUAUGCUAGAGCUAUGCUUUGUCUUGGGUUGCAACUGCUAGUCGUUUUAGUUCAUUCUUGUUUUGCUUAUUCGUAUUCUGUUGUUGUCAUGCUUUUUGUGCUAAUGAGUUUUUGAUAUUUUGCAGGGUGUGUGGAAAGUUGCCUGAUAAUUUUUGUUAGUCCUACUUUUCCCAUGUUGUCUAUGUUGGGUAACAAACUAUCCCUUUAGAUACUAUAUUUUUCUUUGGCGGGCGCGGAGGGGGGGGGGGGUGUCAAUGUUUUACAGUGAUAUGUUCUUCGGUUUGUAGGCGUUUAUGUGUUAGGAAGAGGGAGUUGCAUGUCAGUUCAAAUUCUUAGGGAAAUUUACAGUAGAAUUACACUGUAAACCUAUUGUAAAUAACAUUCUAAUUCAACUAUAAUACUAUUGUAUUUAUACUCUAAAUCUAAUGUAAAAUGUCACUAGGAUUCAGCUGUACUUAUAUUGUAUUUACACUGUAAUUCUAGUGUAAACUAAAAUGUAAAUCUACUGUAAUUACUGUCAAACUCACUGCCCAUUUGCUCUAUAAUACUAUUGUAUUUUACACUGUAGUUCUACUAUAAAAUACAUUGUAUUUACACUGCAGUUCCAGUGGUUUAGCACUGGAAUUACAAUUUGCUUACACUGUAAUUCCAGUGGUGUAGCUAUGUAAUUCAAACUGUAAUUACAAAGGAUUUUUCACACUGGUCCACUACUGUAAUUGCAGUUUGUCUGCCAUUGUAAAUUCCUUGUCUGCGAGUGUAAUUUAAUUUGACAGCAGGUUCUUUUUCUGUUCCUCUGUAACUACAAUGUAAAAACACUUGUUAGAUUUUUCUUUUGUGUAGGAUUUACUCGUCUGUAUAUGUUGUAACAUCCAGUGAACUAGUGAAUGCUAGUUCUUAUUGGUUUCUCUGCUGAUCUCUGGAUUUUAAGUUUAUAACUAGAGUACUCUGUGGAUUGUGAUCUGUUCUUUCUCUUUGGUAGACACCCGCUGCUCAAAGUAGAACAAUAUUUUUUGCAUUAACUAAUGAAAAUUUUCGCAGGAUUUCUGUCCCUGUUGUUUUAUAUGUAAUUUUCACAAUGAUAGUACCUUGUACAUCAUUUGCGCCUGAAGUAGAUGAGUAAAAGAGUAUGCCCCCUAUUUUGUCAAGAAUCAAGUUAGAAAAGCAUGAUUGAAUAUGUUUGUUCAUUUUUUCCAGGUUUUUUAAUGCUAUACUAAAGUCAAACAUUAAGGAAAUCAGCUUUGUCAUGUUCGAGGUACAUCUCCUCCCCAUUCAUGCUAGAUUCUAUUCCCUUUGAUCCCAAUGCUGGCGCCUGUGCAUAUUAUUUAAAAAGAAGUAUAAGCAGUGAACUGUUAUUGACUAAAGAACUAUCUACAUUGUUUGUGCCAAUUAGUGUAAGUGCAUAGCCUGAUAUUUUUCCAGUCUUUUUAUCUGACCAUAGUCCUAAAUGAUAUGUAAUGAUCAUUUAAUCUCAGUGUGUACUCAUUUGAAAUUAGAAGUAAAAGGUCAUAGCUUUUCGAACUUCAAUUAAAAAUAAAAGGUAUUUGUAUACAAUUCCAAAGUUUCUAAAAUUCAGUUAGAUUCAUUGCUUUUCUUCAGGAGUAAAUUUGUAAACAUCAUCGUAGUUUCUGAUUAGUGUAAAUUUUUCGUCAGUGCCAAAGUGUCUGAAAAUAUAUUCAUAGCUUUCUGAAAAUACAAUAUUCCUAGCCUAUUUUGUUCAACCUUUAUUUUUCCUAAAUGAUUUCAUAUCUUCCUGAACAUGCUCCCCCAAUUAUUUUCUUCUUUUGACCUGUUGUAACUGUAGUUAUGAAUUCAGAAACUUGCAAGUAGUUUCUCUGUUCCUAUCUCCCUAGACUACUUUGGUCUUAGUAUUCUACCUGGUUCUAGUGUUCUUUUUGUGACACAUAAGUACAGUUCCAGAGCUCAAUUUUUGGUCCCUGUAGCAAGUGAGGAUUUGAACUGUGUUAUAUUUUCUUACAGUUUUAAUAAGUUUUUUUUCAUGAUUAUCCUGCCUAUGAUCUUAGAUUUGGUUUGUGAAUCUGGUGUGUUUCUUCAGCUAUGUAAUGAUACACACACAGUUGUUUCUUUCAGAUGUACAGAGUCAUGAGAGAGAUCUGUUUUACUGAUGCUAGAUGUGUGGUGAAUGCAGAAGAAGAGGGUGUUUAGCUGUGAAUCCUGUGCCUCUUCAGCCAUGAUCUUCUUCAAGCUUGUCUCCCAGAUCGUGGAGGAAACGCCAUCACUUUUUGCUUUUCUGUCCGGGUUGGAAAAGGACGGGGGUUGGACCCGUUAAGUUCCUAUUUGACCUGUGCGGCUUGUUUAAAAGUGGGACAGGAAAAUGGACAUACAGGAUACAAGGGACAGUGAACAGUUGUCACAUUCUAGAUUGCUGAAAAAUCCGGCUGAAACCCAAUUGGUUUUCAGCCGGAUGUCAAUUAGACAGUCCCUAGAUUAAACAUCUCACACAAGUUUACCAAAUUCCACGGAAAUAUAAAGUCAGCAAGCGAUUUCAUGCUACGAAACAG
rnacentral:lncRNA from 1 species